UGCCCAGCAACUCCUAUCCCUACCUCCACGCGGUACCGGCCGGAAACUAUGAGCAACCUUAGGGAAGAUCGGGUAACCAACCCCGGUGGGAACUUUGGUCGUAGAAUGACAGGGAAGC
rnacentral:ribozyme from 1 species